rnacentral:rRNA from 1 species
UACGGAGGGUGCAAACGUUGCUCGGAAUUAUUGAGCGUAAAGCGCACGUAGGCGGCUCGUUAAGUCGGAUGUGAAAUCCCUCGGCUCAACCGAGGAAGUGCAUCCGAAACUGGCGAGCUUGAAUAUGGAAGAGGGUCGCGGAAUUCCCGGUGUAGAGGUGAAAUUCGUAGAUAUCGGGAGGAACACCAGUGGCGAAGGCGGCGACCUGGGCCAAUAUUGACGCUGAGGUGCGAAAGCGUGGGGAGCAAACAGG